GGUAAACAGCUAUACGGUUAUGUUUACUUAAGACUGUGAUAAAAAUGCUCUGUUCUCAGAAGGAAUGCUUGUAGCUGAUGUAUAACAAGGUUGUGGUUUAUAGUUAAGCAAGUGACAAGACUGUUCCAGGAAGGAAAUGACAAGAAUGUUUCCUGAAAAGGUGUUUGUGUAAGAUUGUUCUCAGAAAAUUGCUUGCAUAGUUUUGUCCCCAGAAGGUCUGAGAUGGAAAAUAGAUUAACCAAAUCGUGAAAGGUUGACUUGUGAUUCAUGUGUACCCUCCAGCCCUCAUGUAUAAAAAUCCUUCUCUCCUUUCAGACUUCGGAGCACUUGGAACCUCUUCCUUUGUGCUGCCCAAACUACAGUUUUUCUGUUCCUCAAUAAAACACUUUCCUUUUCUACUCCACACAGAGUAAGAGAGCUAUUUCUUUGACAUAUUUGGUGUCAGAAUUGCGGGAUUUUGAAGGUGCAUUAUCUUUCACGACCCCCAGGGCAUGAGGACUCAGGCUCUGGUACCAGCAAGCCGUUUGGGUUCUUCACUUCCAUGAUUUUCUCAGAUGUUGUCUUAAGAGUUGUGCUGUGGGAGAUGUGUAACAAAGACAAGCAAUUUGGAAGAUUUAUUAUAAGAUAAGUUUUCACUGAAAAUGCUUUACCAAAAUAUUUCAACAAAAAUGGACUGGGCCUGGGGAGGCAGGCACAAGAUGGUGGAGUAGUCACAUGCUUCCUGUGGUCCCUCUUACAACAAAGACCUGAAAAAAGUGAAUUUAUUAUGUAUGACAAUCUAGGACCACUAAACAUCAAAGGCGAAGUUGAUUAAUCAGACUGAGUGGCAGGGGGAGGGAGAGAUGGUUCAGAAGCAGCGAGAAAUUACCAGAACUGAGCUGGCGGGAACUGGCACCCUGCAGAUUCGAUCAGCUGUGAUAAGUGAGGCAAGCGGCGGUGCUUGGGAUAAGUUUCCUACAUCAGAGGAGACUGAUUGGUGGAGAGUCUGCUCAACCCUCCAGAACUAGUGAAAAGCGGCGCUCAAUUAGCAAAAGAUAAAUACAUGCGUCUAACCUACUGCACAGAUCAAAACAACUCUUUGAGAAAACCCUUCCAUUUGUCUGCUCCCUCCCUGCUCUGCACCGGGUCCUGGCCACUUCAGAGAUUGCCGUGUCCCCCGGGCUGGAAGUAGGACCUGUCAUGUACCCUGAGCCAUUCUCCCAGCCUUGGAGAGGGAACAAAUUAACAAACAGGGAAAAAUAAUCUGUCAGCUCCCCUCAGCCGAGAACUCAGGGCAGCCAGAGCUUCUUUGGUUGACACAGGCAUAAGGGGUCCAUGACUUUGAAAGCCUUUCACCUCUGCGUAGACCUGUGUGGGCCCAUUUCAACAGCACAGACCCUCAUUAGCACAGUACAACAGGGUAUAUACCUGAAGCCUAACUUCAACUAUAUCAGCUGUAUGGUGGAGUGGCAGAUCCAUGACAUCUGACGCCACUCUGCAGAGUCCUCACCAGCCACAUCAGGGGCCUGAGGACUAGUGGCUCCACCCACACCACCUAACUAUCCAUGACAGGGGUUCAAGAAUAAGUGGUACCUCCCAGUCCUUACAGCCAACAGCAUUGGGUCCCAAUAGUCUGGCUGCAAAGCCCACUCACCUAUGUGUUAUAGGGAACAGGGAUAUGCUUUCCUUCCAGACACUCAGGCGCAGCUGUCAGCUCUCUGCUCAGCAUGUGAUGCCUUACUGCAGCCAAAUACCUGUGCCUACACCAAUCACCCCUGCAGGUGAGGGCCUGCACCACACACUUGGUUACCAACUAUCUGGACACCUGAGCUGAAUUGAUACGAGAAAUGUAAAUGGACUCCUGGGCUGACAUACCUAGUAACAGAUCUAACCACUUGUUGACAGGAUGUGAGAGCUUCAGAGGCACCAAUAAUCAAACUAGCUCACAAAAGCAGCCUAUUUGGGCAUUUCAAAAAACAAAACAAAACAAGAAGCCAGGACAUAGUAACCAAACAUAAAAUAAAUAAAUAUAACUUAUUGAUGGCUCGGAGACAAGAAUCAAUAUCAAAUCACGUAAAGAGGCAGACCAUGAUGGCUUGAGUAAGCUCCCAAAACAAAGAAUCAAGAAAUCUUCUGACGAAGAGAAUUACUGGAGGUAGAAUACAAAAGAUUAAUACAGAGACCUCUCCAAGAGAUCAGGCAAAACGCAGAACCAUUCAAGGAACACACACACAAAGCAAUAGAGGAACUUAAGAAGAUUAUAGAACAGCAUAAUGAUGAAUUUAAUAGGCUGCAAGAAUCCAUAGAGAGACAGCAAACAGAAAUCCAGAAGAUUAACAAUAAAAUUUCAGAAUUUGACAACUCAAUAGAAAGCCAUAGGAGCAGAAUUGAGGCAAUAGAAGUGAGAGUUAAGUUAGUGAGAUUAAAGAUAAAGCACUUGACAUCAACAUAUUUGAGGAAAAAUCAGAUAAAAGAAUUUAAAAAAAUGAAGAAACCCUAAGAAUUACGUGGGAUUCUAUCAAGAGGAAUAACAUACACAUGAUUGGAGUACAGGGACGGGGGUGAUAAGAGAAAAUACAGAGAUAAUUGUUGAAGAUGUGUUGGCAGAAAACUUCCCUGAUAUUGUGAAAGAUGAGAAGAUAUUUAUCUAAGAUGCUCAUCGAAUCCCACACAAGGCAGACCCCAAAAGAAAUUCACCAAGAUGUUUUAUAAUCAAAGUUGCCAAAAGCAGACAUAAAGAGAGAAUUUUAAGAGUGGCUCGGGAUAAACAAAAAAUCACCUACAAAGGAGAGUCCAUAAGAACAAGCUCAGAUUACUCAGCAGCAACCAUGCAGGCAAGAAGGCAAUGGGAUGACAUUUAUAAAGCCUUGAAGGAAAACAAUUGCCAAACAAGAAUUAUAUAUCCAGCAACACUGUCUUUCAAACAUGAUGGUGAAAUUAGGGCAUUUUCAGAUAAACAGAAGUUUAGGGAUUUGCAAAAAAAAAAAAAAAAGUUACAAGAAAUACCAAAGGGAGUCCUCUGGUUAGAAAAUCAAUAACAUCUGAUAACAACCCAAGAAUAGAACACAGGACAGAGCAACCAGAUUUCAACCCAGAUAGGAAGUCACAAAAAUAAAUCAAAGAUAAAACACUGAAAAUAGGGAAACAGAGAUGUCAAUAUGUAAAAGAUGUAAAAGACAACACUUGCCUUAGUCAUCUGCUAUAACAGAAAUACCACAAGUGGAUGCAUUAACAAAGAGAAAUUUAUUUUCUCACAGUCUAGUAAGUCCAAAUUCAGGGUGUCAGCUCCAGGGGAAGGCUUUCUGUCUCUGUCAGCUCUGGAGGAAGGUCAUUCUUGUCAAUCUUUCCCUGGACUAGGAGCUUCUCUGCACAGGGACUCUGGAUCCAAAGGACACACUAUGCUCCCGGUGCUUCCUUCUUGGUGGUAUGAGGUCCCCAACUCUCUGCUUACUUCCCUUUCCUUUUUAUCUCUCUCAAGAGAAAAGGUGGUGCAGACCACACCCCAGGGAAACUCCUUUUCAUUGGAUCAGGAAUGUGACCUGGGUAAGGGUGUUACAAUUUCACCCUAAUCCUCUUUAACAUAAAACUACAUUCAUGAAAUGGAGGACAACUACACAAUACUGGAAAUCAUGACCCAGCCAAACUGAUACACACAUAUUUGGGGGAACAUAAUUCAAUCCACGACAACACUAAAACAAAAAAGACUGCCUAAAAAAAUUAGUCAGAGAUGUUUCAUAUGGAAAGGAAGUCAAGGUGAUAUCAAGAAAUAAAAGAUUGGUUUAAACUUAGAAAAAUCGGGGUAAAUAUUGAGAUAACCACAAAGGAAACUAACAAUCCUAUACAUCAAAAUAAAAAGCAAGAAAAAUAUAAAGUCUCAGCAAACACAAAAUCAACAGCAAUGAAGAAGAUGAAAAGAACAUACAUAAAGGAAAAUUACUCAAAACAGAAAAUUAAGUGAAACAAAGAAGCUGUCAACAACACAUGAAAAGAAUACAUCAAAAUGACAGCACUAAACUCAUACCUAUCAAUAAUUACACUGAAUGUAAAUGGACUAAAUGCACCAAUAAAGAGACAGUGGCAGAAUGGUUAAAAAAAAAAAUCAUCCAUCCAUGUGCUGCCUCAAAGAGACACACAUUAGACUUAAAGACACAAACAAUCUAAAACUCAAAGGAUGGAAAAAUAUAUCAAACAAACAACAAUCAGAAAAGAGCAAGAGUGGCAAUAUUAAUCUCUGGCAAAAUAGACUUUAAUGUAAAAUCCACCACAAAGGAUAAGGAAGGACACUAUAUAAUGAUUAAAGGGUCAAUACACCAGGAAGACAUAACCAUAAUAAAUACUUACACACCCAAUGACAGGGCUUCAAGAUACAUAAAACAAACUCUAACAGUAUUGAAAAGAGAGCUAGACAGCUCCACAAUAAUAGUAGGAGACUUCACCACAUCUCCUUCGGUAAAGGUCAGAACAUCUAGAAAGAAGCUCAAGGAAGACACAGAAAAUCUAAAUGCCACAAUCAACCAACUUGACAUCAUAGACAUACAUAGAACACUCCACUCAACAGCAGCCAAGCAUACUUUCUUUUCCAAUGCACAUGGAACAUUCUCCAGAAUAGACCACAUAUUAGGCCAUAAAGCAAGCCUUAACAGAGUCCAAAACAUCGAAAUAUUACAAAGCAUCUUUUCUGACCAUAAAGCCAUCAAUAAGAGAAAAAGCAAGGAAAAAAAUCAACCACACGGAAACUGAAUGACAUCUUGCUCAAAAACUACUAGGUUAUAGAAAAAAUUAAGGAUGGAAUAAAGAAAUUCACAGAAUCAAAUAAGAAUGAAAACACAUCCUACUAGAACCUUCAGGACACAGUAAAAGUGGUGCUCAGAGGUCAAUUUAUAGCAAUAAAUGCACACAUCCAAAAAGAAGAAAGGGCUAAAAUCAAAGGAUUAUCCUUACAACUCGAACAAACAGAAAGGGAGCAGCAAAAGAAGUGCUCAGGCACCAGAAGAAAGAAAACAAUAAAAAUUAGAGUAGAAUUAAAAUAGAGAACAGAAAAACAACUGAAAGAGUUAACAAGACCAAAAGCUGGUUCUUUGAAAAGAUUAACAAAAUUGAUAAACCACUGGCCAAACUGACAAAAGAAAAACAGGAGAGGAAGCAAAUAACUGGAAUAAGAAAUGAAAUAGGCAAUAUUACAACAGACCCAACUGAAAUUAAAAGAAUCAUAACAGAACACUAUGAAAAACUGUACUCUAACAAAUUUGAAAAUCUAGAGGAAAUGGACAAAUUUCUAGAAACUUACUACCUACUUAAACUAACACAAACAGAUGUAGAACAACUAAAUAAACCCAUAACAAAAGAAGAAAUUGAAAAGGUAAUUAAAAAUCUCCUAACAACAACAACAAAUCCCUGGCCCUGACUGGUUCACUGGAGAGUUCUACCGAACUUUCAGAGAAGAGUUAACACCACUACUACUAAAGGUAUUUCAGAGCAUAGAAAAGGAUGGAAUACUCCCAAACUCAUUCUAUGAAGCCAACGUAACCCUGAUACCGAAACCAAAUAAAGACGCCACAAAAAAAGAAAGUUACAGACCAAUAUCCCUCAAGAGCUUAGACGUAAAAAUCAUCAACAAAAUUCUAGCCAAUAGAAUUCAACAACAUAUCAAAAAAAUGAUUCACCAUGACCAAGUGGGAUUCAUACCAGGUAUGCAGGGAUGGUUCAACAUUAGAAAAACAGUCAAUGUAAUCCAUCACAUUAAGUAAAACAAAGGCAAGAACCACAUGAUCUUAUCAAUUGAUUUAGAAAAGGAGUUUGGCAAAGUUCAACUCACAUUCAACUCACAUUAACAAAAUAGGAGAAGAGAAAAUUCCUCAAUAUAACAAAGGACAUUUAUUCAAAGCCAACAGCCAACAGUCAUCCUAAAUGGAGAGAGACUGAAAGCAUUCUUCUUGAGAAUGGGAACCAGACAAGGAUGCGCUUUAUCACCACUCUUAUUCAUCUUUAUUUAUCACCACUCUUGCUUUAGAUCCUAGCCAGAGCAAUUAGGCUAGAAAAAGAAAUAAAGGACACCCAAAUUGGUAAAGAAGAAGUAAAAGUAACUCUAUUUGGAGAUGCUAUGGGUAUAAUGUUAUACGGAAACCCUGGUGGCGUAGUGGUUGUGCUAUGACUAUUAACCAAAAGGAUGCCAGUUCUAAUCCACCAGGUGCUCCUUGGAAACUCUAUGGGCCGGUUUUAUUCUGUUGUAUAGGGUUGCCAUGAGUUGGAAUCAACUCGACGGUAAUGGGUUUAGUUUUGGGUUUUAUGAUGUUAUACACAGAAAAUCCCAAAGAAUCCACAAGAAAAGUACUGGAACUAAUAGAAGAGUUCAGCAAAGGAUCAGGAAACAAGAAAAAUAUACAAAAAUCAGUUAGAUUCCUCUACACCAACAAAGAACUUUGAAGAGGAAAUCACCAAUCAAUACCAUCUACAAUAGCCCCCAAGAAGAUACUUAGGAAUAAAUCUAACCAGAGAUAUAAAAGACAUAUACAAAGAAAACUACAAGACACUACUGCAAGAAACUAAAAGAGACCUACAAAGUGGAAAAACAUACCUUGCACAUGGAUAGGAAGACUCAACAUUAUCUCAAACAUGUCUAUUCUACCCAAAGCAAUCUAUAGAUGCAAUGUAAUCCCAAUCCAAGUUCCAAUGGCAUUUUUUAAUGAGGUGGAGAAACCAAUUACCAACUUCAUAUGGAAAUGGGAGAGGCCCUGGGUAAAGUAAAGCAUUACAAAAGAAGAACAAAGUGGGAGGCCUCACACUACCUGAUCUUAGAAUCUAUUAUACUGCCACGUAGUCAGAACAGCCUGAAAUUGGUACAACAGAUACACAGAUCAAUGGAACAGAAUUGAGAAUCCAGACAUAAAUUCACCCACCUAUGAACAGCUGAUAUUUGACAAAUUCCCAAAAUCUGUUAAAAGGAGAAAAGACAGUCUGUUUAACAAAUGGCGCUGGCAUAACUGGAUAUCCACCUCAAAAAAUGAAACAAAACCCACACCUUAUACCAUGCACAAAACUGACUCAAAAUGGAUCAAAGAUCUAAAUAUAAAAUCUAAAAUGAUUUAGAUCAUGGAAGAAAAAAUAGGGACAACACUAGGAGCCCUAAUACAUGGCCCCAUAAACAGUAUACAAAAUAUUACUAACAAUGCAGAAGAGAAACUAGGUAACUGGGAGCUCCUAAAAAUCAAACACCUAUGUUCAUCCAAAGACUUCACUAAAAGAGUAAAAAGAUUACCUACAGACUGGGAAAAAGCUAUGACGUUUCUGACCAGUGCCUGAUCUCUAAAAUCUACAUGAUACUGCAAAAACUCAAUUCUAAAAAGACAACCCAAUCAAAAAAUGGGCAAAAGAUAUGAUGAGGCACAUCACUAAAGAAUACAUUCAGGUAGCUAACAGAUACAUGAGGAAAUUCUUAUGAUGAUGAGCCAUUAGAGAAAUGCAAAUCAAGACUACAAUGAGAUUUCAUCUCACCCCAACGAGGCUGGCAUUAAUCCAAAAAACACAAAAUAAUAAAUGUGGGAGAGGUUGUGGAGAGACUGGAACACUUAUACACUGCUGGUAGUACAAUCACUUUGGAAAUCGAUUUGGCACUUCCUUAAAGAGCCAGAAAUAGAACUACCAUACGAUCCAGCAAUCCCAUCCCUUGGAACAUAUCCUAGAGAAAUAAGAGCCCUCACAUGAAUAGAUAUAUGCACACCCAUGUUCACUGCAGCACUGUUUACAAUAACAAAAAGAUGGAAGCAACCAAGGUGCCCAUCAAUGGAUGAAUGGAUAAAUAAAUUACUGUAUAUUCACACAAUGGAAUACCAUGCAUCGAUAAAGAACGGUGAUGAAUCUGUGAAACGUUUCAUAGCAUGGAGGAAUCUGGAAGGCAUUAUGCUGAGUGAAAUUAGUCAGUUGCAAAAGUUUGUUGCAAAAUAUUGUAUAAGACCAAUAUUAUAAGAACUCGAGAAACAGUUUAAACAGAAAAGAAUAUAUUCUUUGAUGGUA